GAAGUUAACCGGAUGGUCGCGGGGACAAGGACCGAAAGGUUGUCUCUGAGGAAAGUCCGAGCUCCAUAGGGCAGGGUGCCGGGUAACGCCCGGUGGGGGUAACCCCAAGGAAAGUGCAACAGAAAUAUACCGCCCGACACUUACUUAAGCUUUAAGUAAGUGCCGGGUAAGGGUGGAAAGGUGAGGUAAGAGCUCACCGGCAGUCAGGUAACUGGCUGGCCCUGUAAACCCCACCCGGAGCAAGACCAAAUAGGGGAACAAUAGAGCGGCCCGCUUUAGUUCCCGGGUUAGGUCGCUUGAGGCUGGCGGUAACGUCAGUCCUAGAUAGAUGACCAUCACCUCGUAAGAGGAACAGAACUCGGCUUAUAGGUUGACUUCGAAC
rnacentral:RNase_P_RNA from 1 species